rnacentral:rRNA from 1 species
AAUCUUGCGCAAUGGGCGAAAGCCUGACGCAGCAACGCCGCGUGGGGGAUGAAGGCUCUCGGGUUGUAAACUUCUCUUAGCAGGGACGAAAUUGACGGUACCUGCAGAAGAAGCUCCGGCCAACUACGUUCCAGCAGCCGCGGUAACACGUAGGGGGCGAGCGUUGUCCGGAUUUAUUGGGCGUAAAGAGCUCGUAGGCGGCUCGGUAAGUCGGGUGUGAAAACUCAGGGCUCAACCCUGAGACGCCACUUGAUACUGCCGUGGCUAGAGUCCGGUAGGGGAGCGUGGAAUUCCUGGUGUAGCGGUGAAAUGCGCAGAUAUCAGGAGGAACACCAGCGGCGAAGGCGGCGCUCUGGGCCGGAACUGACGCUGAGGAGCGAAAGCGUGGGUAGCAAACA